GGCAUCUUCUCAUCCCCACCAUCACAAGAAUGCUGUCUAGGAAGAAGCUGGAACAGACCUGGCUUAAAAGCAGACUAGGCAUGGAACAGCAAAUCAGCAGUUCAAGCUGAGGAGAAAAGAACAAAGAGCAGAGGGAUCUAACUGAGGAUACCACAUUGCAUUUGGUUACCAUGUUUCCGGAGUCUUCUCCAGUCUGGCAGAAUCAAACUACAGCCAACUUAUGGUGAGGAGCUCUUCAAACCAUUACUGAAAUUGCCAUUAAGAUACACCUGCUGCACAAGGCAGAAGAAUUAUUUUCACAUCAGCUGCUUUAUCCUGGCUACAUGGACAGAACCAACACAUUGAAGACCAAGUUUAAUUCAUUCAUCCCCAAGAGGAACAUAAAGACUAUCUGUUGUGAUACUAAAUUCAAAAGUAUACUCCAAUCAAAAAUAGUUUUGCUUUAUCUUUUAUGCAUACAUACAACACCAUAAUAUAUAUUCAGCAAAGAUGUAUUACUGUUUCUGUCGUAUCCAAGGAUAUAAAACACAUAGCUAUUCCAGUGAUGGCGCCUUUCAGUUCUUUCUGUAAAGCUUGUUUGUACAUGUAUGUUUUCAUGGACAGACUGCAAGUUAAAAAGCUUAUAUUCUGUCAUUUUCAGUGUCAAAUGCAUCCAAUAUCAAACAUAUCAAGGCUGAUCACAUCAUUAUAAAUUGCUGAUAAGGCUUCUUGUUACCCUUCUAUCACCACUGUCACAAAUUACCACAAACUUAGUGGCUUAUAACAUCCAUUUAUUAUCUCCCAGUUUCAUGCUGAGAUGUCUAAGCACAAGGAGACUCAGUCAGAUCCACUGUGCAGAGCUUCACAAGGUCUAAAUCAAAAUGCUGGCUGAGCUGGCCUCUUAUCUAGAAGCUCUGGGGAAGACUCUGCUUCCAUAGACCAUCAGGUCGUUGGAAGAAUUCAGUUCCUUGUCAUUUUAAUUCAUUUUUAAACGAACUAGAGCAUGUUGAAUCCCUGUUCUUAAAAUCUCUGACGUCGUCUUCUGCUACCAGCCAGAGAAAAAUCU